CCUACGGGAGGCAGCAGUGGGGAAUAUUGGACAAUGGGGGAAACCCUGAUCCAGCGACGCCGCGGGAGUGAAGAAGUAGUUCGGUACGUAAAGCGCGAUCAGCAGGAAAGAAAAUGACGGUACCUGACGAAGAAGCCCCGGCUAACGACGUGCCAGCAGCCGCGGUAAUACGGAGGGGGCAAGCGUUAUCCGGAUUUACUGGGUGUAAAGGGAGCGGAGACGGCCGCGCAAGUCUGGAGUGAAAUGCCGGGGCCCAACCCCGGUACUGCUCUGGAAACUGUGAAGCUGGAGUGCCGGAGAGGUCAGCUGACUUCCUGGUGUAGCGGUGUAAUGCGUCGCUAUC
rnacentral:rRNA from 1 species